rnacentral:tRNA from 1 species
UUUUCCAACGGCUUUAUUUGACUUUCUUUAUGGAUUAUAAUGGAGGAAGCAUUAUAAUUAUGGGAGGAAAAA